UUUUUUUUUUUUUUUUUUUGAUCUCCCCGUGCAGAAGCUGGGAUAAUACCAUAAGACGAGAAGACCCUAUGGAGCUUUAGACAUAUCAGGUUUACGUCACUGCCCCCUAGAUAAAGGAGUGAACUAAUUAUAUACCUUGAAAAUGUUUUUGGUUGGGGCGACCACGGGAAAAGAAAUAACUCCCACGGCGAAGAAGUACAAACUUUUAAAGCUAAGACAAUCAAGUCUAAGCCAUAGAAAUUCUAACAAAUGAUCCGGCUUGCCGAUCAACGAAACGAGUUACCCUAGGGAUAACAGCGCAAUCCCCUUUAAGAGACCUUAUCAGCAAGGGGGUUUACGACCUCGAUGUUGGAUCAGGACAUCCUAAUGGUGCAGCCGCUAUUAAGGGUUCGU
rnacentral:rRNA from 1 species